CAGUAAUGGAAGUACCCAGAGCAGCAGCAUAUUUUCAAGUUCAACUGGGAUCUGUAGCAGCAGCAUAUUUCCAAGUUCAACUGGAAUCUGUAGCGGCAGCAGCAUUUUUGCAAGUUCAACUGGAAUAUAUAGCAACAGCAGUAGCUUGAGCAGUAACAGAAGUACCAGCGGCAGCAGCAUUUUUACAAGCUUGACUGGAAUCUGUAGCA
rnacentral:misc_RNA from 1 species